rnacentral:rRNA from 1 species
AAGCUCGUAGUUGAAUUUCGGGAUUGACGUGAUGGUCAUGCCUUAAGGGGUAUGAACUGUUACUGUUGAUUUCUCACCUUCUGGAGAAACUUGAUGUCCUUUAUUGGGUGUCUUGCGGAUCCAGGACCUUUACCUUGAAAAAAUUAGAGUGUUUAAAGCAGGCAUUUUUGCUCGAAUACAUUAGCAUGGAAUAAUAGAAUAGGACGGCAUGGUUCUAUUUUGUUGGUUCCUAGGAUCACCGUAAUGAUUAAUAGGGAUAGUUGGG